AUGGGUUUCUCUCGCGCUGUGGAGUGGUGGGAUGAGUGGCAACUGCGCAUUCUGGUGCUGGCCAGUCUCUUCAUCCAGUACUUCCUCUUCUUCUCCUCCGUGGUGCGCAGGUUAGCUCUUCCAGCUUGGCUCAGACUUUUCAUCUGGCUUGCCUACCUAGGCGGGGAUGCUGUGGCCAUAUACGCCGUGGCCACCCUCUUCAACUGCCACAAGCAGCUGCCCACGGAUGGCAGCGGCCUGGAGGUCCUGUGGGCGCCUGUCCUCCUCAUCCACCUUGGGGGCCAGCACCUGAUGUCGGCCCACAGCAUCGAAGACAACGAGCUGUGGACGCGGCACACCAUAACCGUGGUGUCCCAGGUCACGGUUGCCCUGUACGUGUUCUGCAAGUCAUGGUCCGGGGAGAAGAGGUUGCUUCAGGCGGGAAUCUUGAUGUUCGUCGUUGGGAUCGUCAGAUCCGUCCAGAAGCCAUGGGCUCUAAAGAAUGCCAUUAUCAGUGGCAUGGUCACUGUUGGAAUAAGCCACGGCGUGUGUUGUCGGGCUCGUCCGGCGCGUCGGGUGCGCGCGGGACGGGCGGGACACACUGGUAGCGUUGGGCUCGUCGGGUUCGUCGGGUGUGUCGGUGACGCGCGGGACGGACGGGACGUGUGGGAUGCAGUAGCGUGGCGUGUGCGUAGUGUGUUUACUUGUAGCAGUUCCAUGUGUGUAGCGUGGCUGUGUGUGCAUGUGUGUGACGUGAUAGUCAGCGGCGUGAGUUAG
rnacentral:rRNA from 1 species